rnacentral:rRNA from 1 species
UACGGGGGGAGCAAGCGUUGUUCGGAUUUACUGGGCGUAAAGGGCGGGUAGGCGGCCACCGCAAGUCAGUUGUGAAAUCUCUGGGCUUAACCCAGAACGGUCAGCCGAUACUGCGGGGCUAGAGUGCAGAAGGGGCAACUGGAAUUCUCGGUGUAGCGGUGAAAUGCGUAGAUAUCGAGAGGAACACCUGCGGCGAAGGCGGGUGCUGGGCUGACACUGACGCUGAGGCGCGAAAGCUAGGGGAGCGAACGGG